GUGAGAAAGGCAGCACUCGUUGGCUCUAUGAGGGCAUCGGCCUCUCUCGCUCUCUCCAAGCUCAAGAAAUAGAAAAGAAGAAGAAAAAAGGAAGCCCAGAACUCUGUGAGAAUGUGCCAUCAAUGAGCCCUGACAACGUGUGUGAGCACAGAACCAAGCAUGUUAGUAAGAGGGUAUGCAGAAGAGCCAGGGAGACCCCUUUGUGGAAGAGCCCCUCAUGUAGCUCUAAAGGGUCUAAUUAUUGGGGUGUCUACAUGUGUUUUCUUCUGGGUUCUACGUGUCCCUGGAGCUGUGCUGUAAAGUCGCAUGACCUCUUGGGGAUGGAGAACAUCAAAGGAUUUGGCAGAAAUGACCAUGUCACAAGAGAAUGAAAGAAAUAGAAUGAAAAGAAGAUGAUUUCAACUGGAGAAACCACAAUGAAAGAUGAAGGAUGUUUGGUGCAUGAUUUUAAUGGAAGAAGUAAAGAAGUUUUAUGGCAUUCAAAAGUAGAAGGUGUACAAAUUAAGAAAAAAAGAAGAGAGAUGGAUCUGGGCCACCUUGAGGAACUCGGGCAGUACAUCAGCAACUGUAACAAUGUGGUGAGGUUUCUGGCGCCUGCCCUUUGAACCAGCAGGAGAUAUGAUACCAAGGCUCUAGGGGGUGAGGAGGAGGUAUGUGAGAAGUGGGGAAAAAAAGAAAGACAAUUUGAUAUUUUAGCAAUCUACUAAAACUGGAGUGAGAAACUGCUUCUAGACACAUGAAAUGUGGGAAAGAAAAUCAAGUGAAACAAAGCAAAAAAAACAAAAACAAAAACAAAGAAAUUAAAAGUCAUUACAUUUAUCAGGCCUGUGUC